UACGGAGGGGGCUAGCGUUGUUCGGAAUUACUGGGCGUAAAGCGCACGUAGGCGGCUUUGUAAGUUAGAGGUGAAAGCCUGGGGCUCAACUCCAGAAUUGCCUUUAAGACUGCGGAGCUUGAACGUCGUAGAGGUGAGUGGAAUUCCGAGUGUAGAGGUGAAAUUCGUAGAUAUUCGGAAGAACACCAGUGGCGAAGGCGGCUCACUGGACGACUGUUGACGCUGAGGUGCGAAAGCGUGGGGAGCAAACAGG
rnacentral:rRNA from 1 species